rnacentral:rRNA from 1 species
GAUGAACGCUGGCGGCGUGCCUAAUACAUGCAAGUCGAGCGAACAGAUGAGGAGCUUGCUCCUCUGACGUUAGCGGCGGACGGGUGAGUAACACGUGGAUAACCUACCUAUAAGACUGGGAUAACUUCGGGAAACCGGAGCUAAUACCGGAUAAUAUAUUGAACCGCAUGGUUCAAUAGUGAAAGACGGUUUUGCUGUCACUUAUAGAUGGAUCCGCGCCGCAUUAGCUAGUUGGUAAGGUAACGGCUUACCAAGGCAACGAUGCGUAGCCGACCUGAGAGGGAGAUCGGCCACACUGGAACUGAGACACGGUCCAGACUCCGACGGUGGGCAGCAGUCGGGAAUCUUCCGCAAUGGGCGAAAGCGUGACGGAGCAACGCCGCGUGAGUGAUGAUGGUCUUCGGAUCGUAAAGCUCUGUUAUUAGGGAAGAACAAAUGUGUAAGUAACUGUGCACGUCUUGACGGUACCUAAUCAGAAAGCCCCGGCUAACUACGUG